AUUGAACGCUGGCGGAAUGCUUUACACAUGCAAGUCGAACGGCAGCACGGGGCAACCUGGUGGCGAGUGGCGAACGGGUGAGUAAUAUAUCGGAACGUGCCCAAUCGUGGGGGAUAACGUAGCGAAAGUUACGCUAAUACCGCAUACGAUCUACGGAUGAAAGCGGGGGAUCGCAAGACCUCGCGCGAAUGGAGCGGCCGAUAUCAGAUUAGGUAGUUGGUGGGGUAAAGGCUCACCAAGCCAACGAUCUGUAGCUGGUCUGAGAGGACGACCAGCCACACUGGAACUGAGACACGGUCCAGACUCCUACGGGAGGCAGCAGUGGGGAAUUUUUGGACAAUGGGCGCAAGCCUGAUCCAGCCAUUCCGCGUGCAGGAUGAAGGCCU
rnacentral:rRNA from 1 species